rnacentral:rRNA from 1 species
CAGCUUCAUCCUGGGGUAUAGGCCUACCAAGGCGACGACGGGUAGCCGGCCUGUCUCCGCGACCGGCCACACUGGGACUGAGACACGGCCCAUACUCCUACGGGAGGCAGCAGUGGGGAUAUAUGCACAAUGGGCGCAAGCCACUACGUGCGACGCCGCGUGAGGGAUGACGGCCUUCGGGUUGUAAACCUCUUUCACCCAUGACGAAGCGCAAGUGACGGUAGUGGCUGAAGAAGCACCGGCCAACUACGUGCCAGCAGCCGCGGUAAUACGUAGGGUGCGAGCGUUGUCCGGAAUUACUGGGCGUAAAGAGGAGGUUCGCGCUUUGAGGCGUCGUCUGUGAAAACCCGCAGCUCAACUGCGGGGAUGCAGGCGAUACGGGCAGACUCGAGUACUGCAGGGGAGACUGGAAUUCCUCGUGUAGCGGUGAAAUGCGCAGAAUUCAGGAGGAACACCGGUGGCGAAGGCGGGUCUCUGGGCAGUAACUGACGCUGAGGAGCGAGCGUGGCAAGGCUACAGGAUUAGAUACCCUGGUAGUCCACGCCGUAAACGGUGGGCGCUAGGACUGGGUUUCCUUCCACGGGAUCCGUGCCGUAGCCAACGCAUUAAGCGCCCCG